rnacentral:rRNA from 1 species
AGUGAACGUUGGCGGUAGGCCUAACACAUGCAAGUCGAACGGCAGCACAGUAAGAGCUUGCUCUUACGGGUGGCGAGUGGCGGACGGGUGAGGAAUACAUCGGAAUCUACUUUUUCGUGGGGGAUAACGUAGGGAAACUUACGCUAAUACCGCAUACGACCUACGGGUGAAAGCAGGGGAUCUUCGGACCUUGCGCGAUUGAAUGAGCCGAUGUCGGAUUAGCUAGUUGGCGGGGUAAAGGCCCACCAAGGCGACGAUCCGUAGCUGGUCUGAGAGGAUGAGCAGCCACACUGGAACUGAGACACGGUCCAGACUCCUACGGGAGGCAGCAGUGGGGAAUAUUGGACAAAGGGCGCAAGCCUGAUCCAGCCAUACCGCGUGGGUGAAGAAGGCCUUCGGGUUGUAAAGCCCUUUUGUUGGGAAAGAAAAGCAGCAGGUUAAUACCCCGCUGUUCUGACGGUACCCAAAGAAUAAGCACCGGCUAACUUCGUG